rnacentral:rRNA from 1 species
UACGGGGGGGGCAAGCGUUGUUCGGAAUUACUGGGCGUAAAGGGCUUGUAGGUGGCCAACUAAGUCAGACGUGAAAUCCCCCGGCUUAACCGAGGAACUGCGUCUGAUACUGGAUGGCUAGAGUGUGGGAGAGGGAUGCGGAAUUCCAGGUGUAGCGGUGAAAUGCGUAGAUAUCCGGAAGAACACCGAUGGCGAAGGCAACCUCCUGGGCCUGUACUGACGCUGAGGUACGAAAGCGUGGGGAGCAAACAGG